GCCUAUGAUGGCAUGAAAUCUUUGAGACCUGAUCACAUUUGAUGAAAAACAAAAGCAUUCAUUAAAGAGGGA
rnacentral:snoRNA from 1 species